rnacentral:rRNA from 1 species
CCUACGGGUGGCAGCAGUGGGGAAUAUUGCACAAUGGGGGAAACCCUGAUGCAGCGACGCCGCGUGAGUGAAGAAGGAAUUCGGUAUGUAAAGCUCUAUCAGCAGGGAAGAAAAUGACGGUACCUGAGGAAGAAGCCCCGGCUAACGACGUGCCAGCAGCCGCGGUAAUACGUAGGGGGCAAGCGUUAUCCGGAUUUACUGGGGGUAAAGGGAGCGGAGACGGCAGUGCAAGUCUGGAGUGAAAGGCGGGGGCUCACCCCCCGGACUGCUCUUGAAACUGUACGGCUGGAGUGCAGGCGAGUUAAGUGGAAUUCCUAGUGUAGCGGUGAAAUGCGUAGUUAUUAGGAG